rnacentral:misc_RNA from 1 species
AUCUUCACCUUCUUCUCCUUCUUUCUUCUCCUUAUCAUCCUUAUCCUGUCCCUUGAGAGAUUCUUCACGCUUCUCCAGGAAGUCCAAUUUUUGCAGCCCUGAGCCGGGAUUCCAUUGAACUUUUCUUUUGGUCUGCAACUUCCCUUUGAAACCUUCAACCAAUUCUUCAGGAAAGUUCCUGGAUGUGAGCUGUAGAAUUUGUGCAAGGGAAUCACGCUUCAACGUACUAUUCGACUUAGAUCUAUCGGAAAAUUUCUCUAUCUCAGUUCUUUGCACCUUUUUCAUAACAUUUUCCUCUAGAUAAAAA